UGGGGAAUCUUCCGCAAUGGACGAAAGUCUGACGGGGCAACGCCGCGUGUGUGAAGAAGGCCUUCGGGUUGUAAAGCACUUUUGUCCGGAAAGAAAUCCUUGGCUCUAAUACAGUCGGGGGAUGACGGUACCGGAAGAAUAAGCACCGGCUAACUACGUGCCAGCAGCCGCGGUAAUACGUAGGGUGCAAGCGUUAAUCGGAAUUACUGGGCGUAAAGCGUGCGCAGGCGGUUUGCUAAGACCGAUGUGAAAUCCCCGGGCUCAACCUGGGAACUGCAUUGGUGACUGGCAGGCUAGAGUAUGGCAGAGGGGGGUAGAAUUCCACGUGUAGCAGUGAAAUGCGUAGAGAUGUGGAGGAAUACCGAUGGCGAAGGCAGCCCCCUGGGCCAAUACUGACGCUCAUGCACGAAAGCGUGGGGAGCAAACAGGAUUAGAUACCCUGGUAGUCCACGCCCUAAACGAUGUCAACUAGUUGUUGGGGAUUCAUUUCCUUAGUAACGUAGCUAACGCGUGAAGUUGACCGCCUGGGGAAUACGGUCGCAAGAUUAAAACUCAAAGGAAUUGACGGGGUCAUAGCUGUUUCCUG
rnacentral:rRNA from 1 species